rnacentral:rRNA from 1 species
GAAACGACUCUCGGCAAUGGAUAUCUCGGCUCUCGCAUCGAUGAAGAGCGCAGCGAAAUGCGAUACUUGGUGUGAAUUGC